rnacentral:rRNA from 1 species
AAACGGUGAGUAAUACCGCAUACGCCCUUCGGGGGAAAGAUUUAUCGGAGAAGGAUCGGCCCGCGUUAGAUUAGAUAGUUGGUGGGGUAAUGGCCUACCAAGUCUACGAUCUAUAGCUGGUUUUAGAGGAUGAUCAGCAACACUGGGACUGAGACACGGCCCAGACUCCUACGGGAGGCAGCAGUGGGGAAUCUUAGACAAUGGGCGCAAGCCUGAUCUAGCCAUGCCGCGUGUGUGAUGAAGGUCUUAGGAUCGUAAAGCACUUUCGCCAGGGAUGAUAAUGACAGUACCUGGUAAAGAAACCCCGGCUAACUCCGUGCCAGCAGCCGCGGUAAUACGGAGGGGGUUAGCGUUGUUCGGAAUUACUGGGCGUAAAGCGCGCGUAGGCGGAUUGGAAAGUUGGGGGUGAAAUCCCGGGGCUCAACCCCGGAACUGCCUCCAAAACUAUCAGUCUAGAGUUCGAGAGAGGUGAGUGGAAUUCCAAGUGUAGAGGUGAAAUUCGUAGAUAUUUGGAGGAACACCAGUGGCGAAGGCGGCUCACUGGCUCGAUACUGACGCUGAGGUGCGAAAGUGUGGGGAGC